UAGAGUAGAAGGUAUAGUCUCUGACAUUAGGAUUUAGCUCUCUCCAUACAUCUACUAAACCAGAUUAAUCACAAACGCUUCUGAGAGCUUUUGAGGCUCUACGAUUCGAGACUGGAGCAGUUAAUGAUUUAUUCAAUUUAUCCAAUGUCAAUAGUGUGCAAAGCUGUCAUCGAGGCAAAGAGUGGCUACUUUGAAGAAUCUCAAAUAUAAAAUAUAUUUGGAUUUAUUUAACACCUUUUUGGUUUUACUAUAUGAUUCCAUAUGUGUUAUUUCAUAGUUUUGAUGUCUUCACUAUUAUUCUACAAUGUAGAAAAUAGUACAAAUUAAGAAAAACCCUGGAAUGAGUAGGUGUGCCCAAACCUUUGACUGGUACUCUUAUUGGGUGCAUGGACUGCUCAAAUAAAAGUUACUCACGUUCCCAUCCAUCAACUGGCCAUGUGUGCACCCUAAUAACAUAACUAGCAGCCUUCACGAAUCUGGGUUCUGUGCCGCUGUUGAGUGGAUACUGUCCCGGUAGAAGUAAUGUAAGUGGAGCAGAAUUACUCUGGAAGGGCGACCGGGCUGUGGUUUUGCUGCUAGAGUGCGAUGAGCCCUGUUGAUGACAGGGCCUGUCAAACGUUUCUCUGCCGAUGACGUCUUGCAGGAAAGAGGCCAUGAACUCGGUUCCAGACAUAUCCAACAAUGCCACCCAAAUGUUGCUAGAGCCAGUAGGUGUGCAGAUGGUGUUCAACUACACAAACUUGGAUGCAGCGCAUCAGUAAUAUUAACAAGAAUGAAGCAAAGCACUGGCCUUUUUCAAACACAAUUUCCAUACAGCUUUGGUAUUGUUUUAUGUAUUGUUGAGCUGCCUUAUUUAAUCUGCUUUAUGUAUUUAUGUGUUAUGUGUAUUUCAUAACAAUGUUUGUCUGUCACCAGCUGGCUGGUAAUGGGUGGAUUAGGUGGUUUAUUAUCGCUAAGCGCAAGACACAACUGAGUGAACCAAGGGUGUUGGACAGGGUGUUGGACAGUGUCUGAUUUGGUCCACCAUAAGCAUUUUUAGUUAAGGUUAGGGAUAGGGUUUGGGUUGUAACCCUUUCCCUAAUUCUAGCUUCAUGCCCACAUCCCGGUUCAACCCUAACCUUAGCUUCAACCACAACUCUAACCCUAGCUUUAUGUAUGUAUGUACAGUAUGUAUGUGUUUAAUAAGGAUGAUGUCAACUGCUGUCUUCUGUGUGGUAGUGGUAUACUGAGACAACUUGCUAGAACAUGUUCUAGAAAGUUGCAAAGAGGUGCGGAUCAGGCAGGCGAAUUGGCUUUUGCUUUUCAACCUUUUCAUCCAAAACCAACCAACACAGACACGUGGGCAUGCGCACGCACACACACACACUAAGAUCUGCAAUGCCAGCUGAUGUAAUUACCUUCAGGCCCUUGUUGAUUGCUGGACAACUUUCUACUCUAUGACCAUUGAUCUGCAUGGUGCCAGUCAGCCAUAGAUGAGGUUGAUAUUCCAUUUGAAGUUCAGUUGUAUGUUUCCCGCUUCCUGAAGUUUCUGGUAUGCUCUCCACUAGCUCUUCUCAGUGUUAGUUUUUUUUCAAUCACUCUGGCUCAUUUUUCAGAUGUAAGUAAUAUAUUUCCAAAAUUAAGUACAAAACUUUAAACUGAUAACACUUUUAUGGCCCCUAUCUUAUGUUCAGAACCUUUGAUUGUGCAUUCAUUGGAGUUUCACACAUAUUCCACCCCGGACUCAUUCAUCCAAAAUCCGAGUGUUCUGUUAAAUACCAUGAGCAAUCUUUGUUUAUUCACGAAUACAUAGGAUAAUGAAAGGCUCACCAUUUAGUCAUUUGAACCACGUAGUUUUUUUUUCAAUUGCUAACAAGCAUCAGUCAAGACUGAAGUCACUUUUUCAAAACUCUUCAGUUUGCAUUACCAACAUGCAUCUUGGCCCAACAGUUAAUCUCACCUCAAACCACUUCAUACGUCUCAAAAUAAACUUGUUCGACCAUAACACUGGCAACAACUCCCAAUCAGAAAGCAUACAUUGUCACUCAUAACACACUGAACUAAAAAUCCCAAACAGGGAGCCUUACAUAAAUUAUGAACUUCUCUUUGAGGUUUGAAUGAUUUUUCACAUGAAUCAUUAUAGAAUAAGAACACCUCACUUUAUUGACUGUACUAAAGUAUAUGUAACAAGAAUUCAUCAGAAAUGCAGCAAUUUGCUUCAAUAGCCUUUCUAUAUAUUUUGUGGUCAACCAUGGGGUGUUGGGUUGAGUAUGCAGAGAUUAACACAGAGACAGGGAGGUUUUAGUCCGUAAACAACUUCACUAGGACAUAAAAUAAACAUAACAAAGAAAAUCACGUAAGUUUGGCUCAGUCCUUCUUCUCAGCUUUUGCUCUGUGUCGGUCUCUCCCUCUGUGUCGGUCCUACUCAGCGGUGUGCCACAGUGGUCCUUUUAUUUGGUGUCCACGGCUGGUUGGCACUUUCCCCUAAUUACCUCCACUUGGCGCUAUCCGUGUUGGGAUGCCCAGCUCAUGUACUCCCAGCAGAGGGAGACAACGUCGCAUCACGUACCUCCCAUCUAUUACCAUCCUCCUGAGUAGACCUCCUCAAAGUGUGGUCACUUUGCAUAUAGUAAUGUACUUGUGAAAAAUACAAUUUUGAAACAAAAAACGAAUUCCUGAAAUUCCAGGGCUGCAAUAAUUACAACAACAAAAAACAACUACAUGUAUAGUAUAAUCAAUAAAAAUGUACAGUAAUGUGAGGGUUCUAGUUCUCCCUCUCUCCUGCAUUUGACCACAAGUUCUCAUCAACAUCACAUCAUGUGUCUUCUCUGGCGAUGCAU
rnacentral:lncRNA from 13 species